rnacentral:rRNA from 1 species
GACGAACGCUGGCGGCGUGCUUAACACAUGCAAGUCGAACGGAAAGGCCCUGCUUUUGUGGGGUGCUCGAGUGGCGAACGGGUGAGUAACACGUGAGUAACCUGCCCUUGACUUUGGGAUAACUUCAGGAAACUGGGGCUAAUACCGGAUAGGAGCUCCUGCUGCAUGGUGGGGGUUGGAAAGUUUCGGCGGUUGGGGAUGGACUCGCGGCUUAUCAGCUUGUUGGUGGGGUAGUGGCUUACCAAGGCUUUGACGGGUAGCCGGCCUGGGAGGGUGACCGGCCACAUUGGGACUGAGAUACGGCCCAGACUCCUACGGGAGGCAGCAGUGGGGAAUAUUGCACAAUGGGCGGAAGCCUGAUGCAGCAACGCCGCGUGGGGGAUGACGGCCUUCGGGUUGUAAACCACUUUCGCCUGUGACGAAGCGUGAGUGACGGUAAUGGGUAAAGAAGCACCGGCUAACUACGUG